GACGAACGCUGGCGGCGUGCCUAAUACAUGCAAGUCGAACGAGAGCGACCGGUGCUUGCACUGGUCAAUCUAGUGGCGAACGGGUGAGUAACACGUGGGUAACCUGCCCAUCCGAGGGGGAUAACAUCCGGAAACGGAUGCUAAAACCGCAUAGGUCUUCGAACCGCAUGGUUUGAAGAGGAAAAGAGGCGCAAGCUUCUGCUGAUGGAUGGACCCGCGGUGCAUUAGCUAGUUGGUGAGGUAACGGCUCACCAAGGCCGUGAUGCAUAGCCGACCUGAGAGGGUGAUCGGCCACAUUGGGACUGAGACACGGCCCAAACUCCUACGGGAGGCAGCAGUAGGGAAUCUUCCGCAAAGGACGCAAGUCUGACGGAGCAACGCCGCGUGAGUGAAGAAGGUUUUCGGAUCGUAAAACUCUGUUGUUAGAGAAGAACAAGUGCUAGAGUAACUGUUAGCGCCUUGACGGUAUCUAACCAGAAAGCCACGGCUAACUACGUG
rnacentral:rRNA from 1 species